rnacentral:rRNA from 1 species
AUUCCAGCUCCAAUAGCGUAUAUUAAAGUUGUUGCAGUUAAAAAGCUCGUAGUCGGAUUUUGGCAUCACGCCGAACUGUCUGCCGAUUGGUAAGUACGGUUUGGCGGGUGCUUCCUUCCGGAGGCUCGUUCCCUUCUUCAUUGAAGGGUUCGUUGGUUCCGGGUCUUUUACUUUGAGAAAAUUAGAGUGUUCAAAGCAGGCCUAUGCUCUGAAUAGGUUAGCAUGGAAUAAUAGAAUAGGACUUUGGUUCUAUUUUGUUGGUUUCUAGGACCGAAGUAAUGAUUAAUAGGGACAGUUGGGGGCAUUCAUAUUCCAUUGUCAGAGGUGAAAUUCUUGGAUUUGUUAAAGACGAACUCAUGCGAAAGCAUUUACCAAGGAUGUUUUCAUUA